CCUACGGGUGACAGCAGUGAGGAAUAUUGGUCAAUGGACGAGAGUCUGAACCAGCCAAGUAGCGUGAAGGAUGACUGCCCUAUGGGUUGUAAACUUCUUUUAUAUGGGAAUAAAAUGUUCCACGUGUGGGAUUUUGUAUGUACCAUAUGAAUAAGGAUCGGCUAACUCCGUGCCAGCAGCCGCGGUAAUACGGAGGAUCCGAGCGUUAUCCGGAUUUAUUGGGUUUAAAGGGAGCGUAGGUGGAUUGUUAAGUCAGUUGUGAAAGUUUGCGGCUCAACCGUAAAAUUGCAGUUGAAACUGGCAGUCUUGAGUACAGGAGAGGUGGGCGGAAUUCGUGGUGUAGCGGUGAAAUGCUUAGAUAUCACGAAGAACUCCGAUUGCGAAGGCAGUUCACUGGACUGCAACUGACACUGAGGCUCGAAAGUGUGGGUAUCAAACAGGAUUAGAUACCCUGGUAGUC
rnacentral:rRNA from 1 species